GACGAACGCUGGCGGCGUGCUUAACACAUGCAAGUCGAACGGAAAGGCCCUGCUCUUGUGGGUCUCUCGAGUGGCGAACGGGUGAGUAACACGUGAGUAACCUGCCCUUGACAUUGGGAUAACUUCAGGAAACUGGGGCUAAUACCGGAUAGGAGCUCCUGCUGCAUGUUGGUCGUUGGAAAAAUUCGGCGGUUGGGGAUCGUCUCGAGGCUUAUGAGCUUGUUGGUCGGGUAGGUGCUUACCAGGGCUUUGACGGGUAGCCGGCCUGAGAGGGGGACCGGCGACCUUGGGACUGAGAUACGGCCCAGACUCCUACGGGAGGCAGCAGUGGGGAAUAUUGCAGAAUGGGCGGAAGCCUGAUGCAGCGACGCCGCGUGCGGGAUGACGGCCUUCGGGUUGUAAACCGCUUUGGCCUGUGACGAGGCGUGCGUGACGGUAAUGGGUAAAGAAGCACCGGCUAACUACGUG
rnacentral:rRNA from 1 species